rnacentral:misc_RNA from 1 species
GUAAAGUAUAAAUAAGUAUUUAAUUUCUAAGAGAUUACCUUGGACUUGAGCUGUCUUCUUCGGCUUGCGCUUAGUCGAUAUUGUGAGCUCUCCCUCCUCAAAUGUUUUGCUCGGAGCACGUUUCGGUUUGAAGUCAACACUUAGCUCUUCCACUUCACUCACUUCGUAGGUAGAUUUUUUGGGCUUCCUCCUCAAAACCAUUUCGACAUUUUCCUCUGAUUCAGCUUCGCUGAUAAUGAUCUCUUCAACUUUGCUGUCAUCUUCGACCUCUUUUUCUAGUCGAAUCGACGUUUCAUCAGCCGCUUCAGAUAUUGUUGGUCUUUUCUUUGACGCUAGUUUUAUAUUACUUGACAGCGACAGCUCCUCGUGUUUAUACUCAUCUACUUGUUGUUUUACGUCAAAAGCAAUUUCUUGAUUAUCAACCACGUAUUGCGGCUGUUUGCCCAAGUCGAAUGUAACAUUUUCAGUGAAUUCCGUUCCAUUAUCUAAUGUUUUUUUAUUAGGCACAUUAACUUUUUCUACUAUGUCGUCCAAAUAUUCCACUGAAGUCUUUUUCAAAGUAGGUUUUCUCAAUGGCAUAGUGAAGUUAGAGCUUUCCUCCUUGUCUUCGCUAUCAAUGAUUUCGACGAUGUCGACUUCAUCAUCAUCCUCGUUUUCUUUGUAAUAUUUUAUUGACGCUUCAUUAGCUUCUUCAUUAAAUGUUGGUUGCCUUUGAGGUUUUAAUUUGACUUUACUGGACAUUGAGAUUUCCUCUUCUUGAUAGGAAUCUAAAUGAAUAUUAAAUUCUUGUUCAACGUCUUCUUUAGUUUUUACACUUUUAGGCCUGAAUGUGACUUCCUCUGGUUCUGUUAUUUCUGGUAAAGUCACAGACGACUUACGAAUAGGUUUCAAUUUUUUCUUUAUUGUUACUUCAUCGGUUAUUUCUUCGAUCUUUUUCACACUCGCACGUCGAGGUUUGAUAGUGACGCUUUGAGGUUCCUCUUCAUUUAUCUCCUCCGGUUCCUCUUUCUUGAUUUCAUAAGGUUUAUCUUCCUCUACAUCUUCUACUUGUAUUUCCUUCAAUGGCUCAUUUUGUUGUAUAAGAGGUUUAUCAGGAACUUCAUCAACUCUCGUGGUAAUUUUAGCUGCCUCCUUUAUGUUUCUUGAAAGAAUACCAUUCUGCCGAACACUACUCAAAACUGAGAUACUUGGCUUUAUAAUUUGAGGAGGCCAUUCCGUCACAUAUUUAAUACGGCUUUUCAGUUGUACUUUAGGUAUUUUCACAACCGUGUCUUCUGGCUUUCGUUUCAAAACAGCUUUUUUCAGUUUCAAAUUUUUAAAUUGCGGCUCUUCGACUUUUUCUACGUAUUGGGGUUUAUUAACUUCUAUUUCUUCUAUUGUCAUAGGUUUCAGUUUUGGUGUUUUCUUUACUUUGCUUACAUCUUCUUGCGAUUUAGAUUUGUCAACUUUUGUAGGUAGCUGUUUUUCUUUUACUUCGUCUAAUUUUGUUGACUCAGUCUCAGGUAGUUCCGGUUUUUUAUUUUUAUCUACUACUUCGUUUGUCGGUAGUUCAACGUCUUUUUCUAAUUCUUUUGACUUAUCUAUAGGUUCAGCCACGUAGUUAUUAGUAUAAUCUUCAGGCGAUUCUAACACAACUUUGUCUAAUUCAUCAAGCACUGGCACUUUCAGAGGUUUCUUCUUAAUUUUAGAUGCUUCUUUUAUAUUUCUAGAUAAUUCACCGUUUUGUCUUACGCUUCCCAAAAAUGUUAUUAUAGGCUUGGAAUCCUUUGGUGGCCAAUCAGUUAUAAACUUGAUACGACUUUUUAAUUGGACUUUAGGUAAUGUUGAAGCCGUCGGCUCUUGUUUCGGUUUCACAGUUGACUUCUUCAAUUUAAUUUUAGAGAACUGAGGCUGUGUCACUUCUUCCGCAAAUUGGGCUUUACUUAUUUUCAAAGAACCACGUUCCAGCUUUUGAGGUAAGAGUUUAGGUUUUUUCAUUUGUUUGACAACUUCCGUAAUUUCUCGUUCUGGCGAUUUUGCUGUAAUCUCUUCAUCUUUUGUUGGAUAUGUCUCUACUUCUGUAAUCAGAUAAUAUGCAAUAUAAUAGUGACGGCUAUUAUAAUAUUUAAAAUUGUUGUUUUACUAUAUUUUAUCUCAUAAAAACCUAAAUUUACAUUAUUAUUUAUGUAGUUGGUCUUUAGGUAAAUUAUACGUAAAGACCAACUACCUACAUAAUUAAGCUUAAGGGUUUAUACAAUUUGUAAGGAACAACAUCAAUAGCUGAAAUAAAAUUAAAAUAAAUUAUUCGCUGUUUUUUUAUACUACAAAUAGUGAGCAACCUUUUACUAACAUUGGUAUGCUUUAAAACUUUUCUUUUCAACUGUGAUUCUCCUUAAAGAAGAAAACCCACAAAGAUUAAGUGCUACUCAGACAGACAAUAUUUAAUUUUCAAUAUUCUAAAUAGUUGCGUUUGUUAUUUCAAGCAAUAACCGGAAAAUAUCCUAAAUAAUAGUACAAACGUUGAGACGAAAGUGUGAAACAUAAUCAAGGAAAAUGUUAGAACACCAGUUUUUAAAAGGAUAAAUCAAAAUACAUUAUAUAUUAAAAUUAUACUUUAUUUAACCAUGCUUUCAUUUUGGUCGGGAAGCAAAAAGUAGAUUCGAAUAGUGCUGAAUGUCACAUUUUAUUUAAUCGAUUUAUUAAUA